UGCAGUCGAGCGGACAGAAGGGAGCUUGCUCCCGGAUGUUAGCGGCGGACGGGUGAGUAACACGUGGGUAACCUGCCUGUAAGACUGGGAUAACUCCGGGAAACCGGAGCUAAUACCGGAUAGUUCCUUGAACCGCAUGGUUCAAGGAUGAAAGACGGUUUCGGCUGUCACUUACAGAUGGACCCGCGGCGCAUUAGCUAGUUGGUGAGGUAACGGCUCACCAAGGCGACGAUGCGUAGCCGACCUGAGAGGGUGAUCGGCCACACUGGGACUGAGACACGGCCCAGACUCCUACGGGAGGCAGCAGUAGGGAAUCUUCCGCAAUGGACGAAAGUCUGACGGAGCAACGCCGCGUGAGUGAUGAAGGUUUUCGGAUCGUAAAGCUCUGUUGUUAGGGAAGAACAAGUGCAAGAGUAACUGCUUGCACCUUGACGGUACCUAACCAGAAAGCCACGGCUAACUACGUGCCAGCAGCCGCGGUAAUACGUAGGUGGCAAGCGUUGUCCGGAAUUAUUGGGCGUAAAGGGCUCGCAGGCGGUUUCUUAAGUCUGAUGUGAAAGCCCCCGGCUCAACCGGGGAGGGUCAUUGGAAACUGGGAAACUUGAGUGCAGAAGAGGAGAGUGGAAUUCCACGUGUAGCGGUGAAAUGCGUAGAGAUGUGGAGGAACACCAGUGGCGAAGGCGACUCUCUGGUCUGUAACUGACGCUGAGGAGCGAAAGCGUGGGGAGCGAACAGGAUUAGAUACCCUGGUAGUCCACGCCGUAAACGAUGAGUGCUAAGUGUUAGGGGGGUUUCCGCCCCUUAGUGCUGCAGCUAACGCAUUAAGCACUCCGCCUGGGGAGUACGGUCGCAAGACUGAAACUCAAAGGAAUUGACGGGGGCCCGCACAAGCGGUGGAGCCAGGUGGUUUAAUUCGAAGCAACGCGAAGAACCUUACCAGGUCUUGACAUCCUCUGACAACCCUAGAAGAUAGGGCUUUCCCUUCGGGGACAGAGUGACAGGUGG
rnacentral:rRNA from 2 species